AAUGAACGCUAGCUACAGGCUUAACACAUGCGAGUCGAGGGGCAGCACAGUGUAGCAAUACACGGGUGGCGACCGGCGCACGGGUGCGUAACGCGUAUCCAACCUUCCCGUUACUCUUGGAUAGCCUUCCGAAAGGGAGAUUAAUACAAGAUGGUAUUCAAAUUCCGCAUGUUAUUUGAAUUAAAGAUUUAUCGGUAACGGAUGGGGAUGCGUGACAUUAGAUAGUAGGCGGGGUAACGGCCCACCUAGUCUACGAUGUCUAGGGGUCCUGAGAGGAAGGUCCCCCACACUGGAACUGAGACACGGUCCAGGCUCCUACGGGAGGCAGCAGUGAGGAAUAUUGGUCAAUGGUCGGAAGACUGAACCAGCCAAGUAGCGUGAAGGAUGAAGGUUCUAUGGAUUGUAAACUUCUUUUAUACGGGAAUAAAACACCUUACGUGUAGGGUCUUGUAUGUACCGUAUGAAUAAGCAUCGGCUAACUCCGUGCCAGCAGCCGCAGUAAAAC
rnacentral:rRNA from 1 species